rnacentral:rRNA from 1 species
GACGAACGCUGGCGGCGUGCUUAACACAUGCAAGUCGAACGGAAAGGCCUUUUCGGUGGUACUCGAGUGGCGAACGGGUGAGUAACACGUGGGUGAUCUGCCCUGCACUCUGGGAUAAGCCUGGGAAACUGGGUCUAAUACCGGAUAGGACCGCACUUUAGUGUGUGUGGUGGAAAGUUUUUUCGGUGUAGGGUGAGCCCGCGGCCUAUCAGCUUGUUGGUGGGGUAAUGGCCUACCAAGGCGGCGGCGUGUAGCCGGACUGAGAGGCUGGUCGGCCACAUUGGGACUUAGGUACGGCCCAGAUUCCGACGGGAGGCAGAAGUGGGGAAUAUUGCACGAUGGGCGCAGGCCUGAUGCAGCGGCGCCGCGUGGGGGAUGACGGCCUUCGGGUUGUAAACUCCUUGCGCCAGGGACGAUGCGUUUUGUGACGGUACCUGGAGAAGAAGCACCGGCUAACUACGUG